rnacentral:rRNA from 1 species
GACGAACGCUGGCGGCGUGCCUAAUACAUGCAAGUUGAGCGCUGAAGGUUGGUACUUGUACCAACUGGAUGAGCAGCGAACGGGUGAGUAACGCGUGGGGAAUCUGCCUUUGAGCGGGGGACAACAUUUGGAAACGAAUGCUAAUACCGCAUAAAAACUUUAAACACAAGUUUUAAGUUUGAAAGAUGCAAUUGCAUCACUCAAAGAUGAUCCCGCGUUGUAUUAGCUAGUUGGUGAGGUAAAGGCUCACCAAGGCGAUGAUACAUAGCCGACCUGAGAGGGUGGUCGGCCACAUUGGGACUGAGACACGGCCCAAACUCCUACGGGAGGCAGCAGUAGGGAAUCGUCGGCAAUGGGCGGAAGUCUGACCGAGCAACGCCGCGUGCGUGAAGAAGGUUUUCGGAUCGUAAAACUCUGUUGGUAGAGAAGAACGUUGGUGAGAGUGGAAAGCUCAUCAAGUGACGGUAACUACCCAGAAAGGGACGGCUAACUACGUG